AUGAGGUUUGCUGGGUUACUUGUGUUGACAUAAUACGUCAGUGUAUACAACUUACAACCACUGAACCAGCUGGGUUAGGUUCUGAGUUUAGAACGCUGUUUUUAAUUGCCAAAAGCCAAGCUGGAUAGGUUACCAGAAUAUCUUCGCGAUACCGUGGACUGGUUUAUGGGUGCAUGUAGAAGUGAAUUAUGUUGAAAACUGUAAACCAGAAGAACUGUUGAACAGGUAUAAACAACGUCUUCACAGAUCCAGUGAUAGAAGUAGACGUAUGGCUCUUUUGAGAGUGGCCUCUGGACUAGAUGCGGAAUUGAAAUGCAGAGCAAGAUCCAUAGCUUAAAUGCCAUAUUAUUAAGAACAUGUUUAAA